AUUUGCCUUGACAAGAGAGCUGAUAAGAAGAUCACAGGAAGUCCGUGUGGACCAUUCAAUGAAAAACGGCUGUGGGAGUACACCAGCCUCAAUGAGCUGAAGCAAGAGUUAGAUUGCAUUGAUUACACUGGAGAAGGAGCAGAAUUAUCCACAUAUCACUGUCACAAGGGCAAAGGAAAUCAGCUAUGGACAUGGAACAAUUCGACAAAGCAAAUACGUCACGGUUAUCAUAAUGCAUGCCUUGGAAUACAGUUUACAGACAAGGGUUCUACGAGGAUAGAGAU